CUACAUUUCCCAGAAUGCCCCAUAUCUGGCCAUGUGACUUAAAUCGCGCGUUAAAAGCUGUCGCCUGCAAUAAUUACGUCCUCUUGGAGUUGGUGCCAUCUUAGGAAGACCCAUCUCCACGACAUGCGAGCGAAGUGGAGAAAGAAGCGCAUGCGCAGGCUGAAGCGCAAAAGGAGAAAGAUGAGGCAGAGGUCCAAGUAAACUGGCCCCUCCGUUGCAGCUGUGGCCUUCCUAUCCCCAUAUCCUCGGUCUUCGUGGAGCCCAGCAGUGCCUGAACGCUGCCGACCAGCCGUGUGCCCGUGGAAUUCCAGGGCCCUUGAUGCCACAGUGCUGCAUACCUGCACAGAAUGAGGACCUCGGCGACCCACUGAAGGACCUGAGCGAUGUCACUCACCUUUUGCCACCCUGGACUCUGGCCAGAUAUUCAUCAGUUGCUUUGUAUGGAGAAAUCCCAAUAAAAUGUUUUGGUUUGUGAA